rnacentral:rRNA from 1 species
AUUGAACGCUGGCGGCAGGCCUAACACAUGCAAGUCGAACGGUAACAGGAAGAAGCUUGCUUCUUUGCUGACGAGUGGCGGACGGGUGAGUAAUGUCUGGGAAACUGCCUGAUGGAGGGGGAUAACUACUGGAAACGGUAGCUAAUACCGCAUAACGUCGCAAGACCAAAGAGGGGGACCUUCGGGCCCCUUGCCAUCGGAUGUGCCCAGAUGGGAUUAGCUAGUAGGUGGGGUAACGGCUCACCUAGGCGACGAUCCCUAGCUGGUCUGAGAGGAUGACCAGCCACACUGGAACUGAGACACGGUCCAGACUCCUACGGGAGGCAGCAGUGGGGAAUAUUGCACAAUGGGCGCAAGCCUGAUGCAGCCAUGCCGCGUGUAUGAAGAAGGCCUUCGGGUUGUAAAGUACUUUCAGCGGGGAGGAAGGGAGUAAAGUUAAUACCUUGGCUCAUUGACGUUACCCGCAGAAGAAGCACCGGCUAACUCCGUG